GAAAAAGUAUGGGAUUUCAAGGGAUUAAGCUAAUAAAGGUGGUGAGCCCUUUAACAAGGGUAAAGAGAUUGUGCCCAAAGACCGGGAAUAUGAGUAUAUUGAACUCCUAGUAUAGCUUAGGAUAGUGUGUAGAUAACUGAUAUCGUCGAAGGCUAUAGUCGGCUUUACUACUCCAAAAACUGUAGGUUUACUGUCUUUGUGCACUUAUGUUCCUUAUGGGCCCAUGAGUCGCUAUAAAGUAAAUUUCAUAUCCUAGUUAUUUGUAUUGUAGUACGUAUGAAUUUAUUUAACUUUUACAUUACAAAAAAAAAAUUAAUUACCGAUGACUCUAUAAAUAUUGUUU